UUGUUUUUCUUCUCUUUUUGAAUUUGCAGUGUGCUUUCUGGGUGCUUAGGACUGAGGGUGUAAGGGUAGAUUGCUUUGCUAGGGCAAUCAGGGGUAACUGGGCAGCAGCAGGAUGGUGGGUCUGGAAUGAAGUGUAUGUGCUUGAGCUCCUGCCUGCUUGAAGAUGGAUGGAUCAGAACCGUGUGUUAAUUGAUGGAGCAGGCAGAGUUGCUGCAGAUUGAGUUCAGAUAUGAAAACUUGGAAAAAAGUGCUCGGGAGAGAAGGGGUUCAUUAAUACGAAAGCUCCUCAGACCAGGAAAGCAACCACUAGAGGGUCUGGGGCUUCUUUGGCAGGUUUUCAAAAGUGGUAUUGCCCAGCUUCUUGAGUGUUUUAUCCAUCCUGAGGUGUUCUUUCAGAUCUGCAAAAAGAGUAGCAGUGAGAGAUGGCUCCCUGCUGAACUGGGUACAAGAGAUGCUGGGGUUUUCUAGGGAUGGGUGUCUACAUGGGCUUUGGCACUUGAGCUGCUGCUUUGGCCUUGGAGACUUCUGACAGUCCAAUUUCCCAAGCUAAAACCUUUUUGGAAGGUCUUAGAAGGCUUCAAAAAGGGAGUUACUUCAGCUCCUGUGUGACAGGAUCCAGAUUUCUAGAGGAUGCAACAGGCUUUAAGCACGUUCUCGUCUAGAAGAAGUAAGACUCACUUUUUCCUGAGGGCCUUGUGUCCCAUUCUCUUGAGCGUAAGUCAACAAUGAUCAUACUGUGGUCUUUUAGAACUUAGCACAGAAUGAGUGAUGAUUGUACUAUCUAAGAAUUCAGGCGAAAAGAAUAUCUAAUGGAAGUGGUGGGGGCAAUUUCAAAUAAAAUGUUGCAAACUUCUCCAGGUCACCGACUAAUGCCACUUUUCUGUUGCAGUAGCAUUUUUUUCUUCUACUAAAAUGCAUGACUGUCUUAUUGAAGAAAAGCUCUGGUGCUGCGAGGAGCCUUUGAAGUUAAGAUCCUUCCUGGACUGCACGCCACUUCAUGCAUGCUACAGGACUGGAAAUCUGUUGUUUUUUUUUUUAAACCCCUGUGCUUUGUUCUGCAGUUUGCUUUGUACUUUUGAAUCAAAUACCUUUCCAUAGCUGUAUUUACUGGAGUAGACCAUGCUAUUAUAGCACCUCAUUCACAUACACGCAGAGGAGGAGGACAGCCAGCUGCAGCUGGCACAUUCAACACACAGUUGGGUUUCCGUUCUGUGGAGAUUUGCAUAAAAUGACCAUGUUUGUCCUCUAUUCUGCUGUAAAAAUAACAAACAGCUUUCUACUCCUGUUUCAUAGAAAAUAUGUAAAUAAGAAAAUAUGUAAAUUAUGGCACUGCCACCCACCCCACUGCAGCGUUCUGUAACAGGCCUACUAUAAAAUGGCUUCUAA